GAUAAUUCAGUGCACCUACAGUGCCUUGCGAAGGUAUUCGGCCCCCUUGAACUUUUCGACCUUUUGCCACAUUUCAGGCUUCAAACAUAAAGAUAUAAAAAUGUAAUGUAAUGUAAAACAAGUGGGACACAAUCAUGAAGUGGAACGAAAUUUAUUGGAUAUUUCAAACUUUUUUAACAAAUAAAAAACUGAAAAAUUAGGCGUGCAAAAUUAUUCAGCCCCUUUACUUUCAGUGCAGCAAACACUCUCCAGAAGUUCAGUGAGGAUCUCUGAAUGAUCCAAUGUUGACCUAAAUGACUAAUGAUGAUAAAUAGAAUCCACCUUUGUGUAAUCAAGUCUCCGUAUAAAUGCACCUGCUCUGUGAUAGUCUCAGAGGUCCGUUUAAAGCGCAGAGAGCAUCAUGAAGAACAAGGAACACACCAGGCAGGUCCGAGAUACUGUUGUGGAGAAGUUUAAAGCCGGAUUUGGAUACAAAAAGAUUUCCCAAGCUUUAAACAUCCCAAGGAGCACUGUGCAAGCGAUAAUAUUGAAAUGGAAGGAGUAUCAGACCACUGCAAAUCUACGAAGACCCGGCCGUCCCUCUAAACUUUCAGCUCAUACAAAGAGAAGACUGAUCAGAGAUGCAGCCAAGAGGCCCAUGAUCACUCUGGAUGAACUGCAGAGAUCUACAGCUGAGGUGGGAGACUCUGUCCAUAGGACAACAAUCAGUCGUAUACUGCACAAAUCUGGCCUUUAUGGAAGAGUGGCAAGAAGAAAGCCAUUUCUUAAAGAUAUCCAUAAAAAGUGUCGGUUAAAGUUUGCCACAAGCCACCUGGGAGACACACCAAACAUGUGGAAGAAGGUGCUCUGGUCAGAUGAAACCAAAAUCUAACUUUUUGGCAACAAUGCAAAACGUUAUGUUUGGCGUAAAAGCAACACAGCUCAUCACCCUGAACACACCAUCCCCACUGUCAAACAUGGUGGUGGCAGCAUCAUGGUUUGGGCCUGCUUUUCUUCAGCAGGGACAGGGAAGAUGGUUAAAAUUGAUGGGAAGAUGGAUGGAGCCAAAUACAGGACCAUUCUGGAAGAAAACCUGAUGGAGUCUGCAAAAGACCUGAGACUGGGACGGAGAUUUGUCUUCCAACAAGACAAUGAUCCAAAACAUAAAGCAAAAUCUACAAUGGAAUGGUUCACAAAUAAACAUAUCCAGGUGUUAGAAUGGCCAAGUCAAAGUCCAGACCUGAAUCCAAUCGAGAAUCUGUGGAAAGAACUGAAAACUGCUGUUCACAAAGGCUCUCCAUCCAACCUCACUGAGCUCGAGCUGUUUUGCAAGGAGGAAUGGGCAAAAAUUUCAGUCUCUCGAUGUGCAAAACUGAUAGAGACAUACCCCAAGCGACUUAACAGCUGUAAUCGCAGCAAAAGGUGGUGCUACAAAGUAUUAACUUAAGGGGGCUGAAUAAUUUUGCACGCCCAAUUUUUCAGUUUUUUAUUUGUUUGCGGGGUG